CUGCAUAAAAUGGUUGUGUGAUAUAACUGCAACAGUAAAGAAUGUAAUUCAGACUAUUUUUGUGUAUGCUUGAGAAAAUGUUUAUAAUUUUUUUACCAAAAAAAAAAAAAAAAAUAUGUAAAGAUUCUCCAUUUUCAACAAGAUUGGAAGUUGUAGGUUAACUUGUAUUUGACAUUACAAAAAUUCUUUCUAUUUUCCGUUUAUACUCAUGUCUAGUCAAAAAACUUCCAGCAGUUUAAGAAUGGAUAAUGUAAAAGAAAAAGAAAGAAAAAAAAAAAAAAAUGUUCAAUUAUUGAAAUGUAUUUUUUUUUUUGCAAAUUGUAAUGUAUAUAUUUUUGCCAUCUUUUUGUUAUUUUAGGAUUUGAGAUACUUUCAAAUUUUACAAGUUACUUUAUACAUGUAGUUAAUGCAAUUAAAUCUGCCGAUGUGAAUAUUCCCACUAAAUUUCUUAGCAAAAAGUUUAAUUAUUUUUUUUUUUUUAGCAACGUUUCAAAAUGCCUUACCAUAGCAAAUGCCUCUCUAGUGUAAACUAAAAAGAUGAAUAAUGGUCUGCAGUAAAUAUAUCCCCUUACAACCUUUUCUUUCGUGUUAAUUUUAAUAUCUUUAAGAUAUGUGACAAGGGUGCUCUAAUGCAGAGGAAUUUACGAAGUUAAGAAGUUAGAAAUAUAUUUUUUGCACUUUUUUUGUCAUUUUUAGCUGACUUUGGUUUGUAACCAAGGUGAUAUUUUUUAAAGAAUAAUUUUACAAAAGGCAUAGUUGAAGAACAUCUUGUUGAAAUUGGAUUGGUUGAUUUUUGGUGUUAAACACCACUUUAACAUGAUUUACUAUAAUUUUGGCUGUAAAUUUUUAUUUGUGGAGACAGCCAGAGUGCCUGGUGAAAACAUCACCUUCAUCAGGGAAACGGGCAAACCCUAGUCAAAUUAAGAAUGAAGUUACACAUUUCAUGUGAGGGUUCUCAGUGUUGACAGGCUAGUGAUACAGUAGUUGAACUACUUAUAGGACCACUCUGCCACCAUAAGUCGAUCAGUACGAAAUAUUUUAUUGAAAUGUGUUAGAUUUUUGUUAUCAAUCUAUUUUUUAAUUUUAAUUGUACUAUUUUAUUUAUUUUGUUUAAUAUAACAAGGAUGUGGAGUCCGAACAGGGUGAAAUUUGGGUCAAAGGGAGGCAAUUUAUUAUACCCCUGUUUAACUCCACAUACUUGAAAUUCCCUCAAUGUUAGGAUUUUCAUCUACUGGAUAUUCAUGUUUGUACAUUUUUUUUUUAAAUCAGAUGUAUACUAGCUAAUAUUGACUAUUAUUUAGAGCUCUGUAAUAAAAAAAAAUAAAUGUAAGCAGAGCUCUAGAUAAUAAGUAUGCAGGGUGGGAGAAAUCUUGGGUCAUUAACAAUUGAUUUGCUGAAAUUUUCAAGAAAGGGGAUUUAUUGGAAAUGCAUCUGAUAUAUUUAAUGUAUAAAACUAUAUUUAAAAAAAAAAGAUGUUAAGAUGAUGAGGAGAGCCACCUUGUCAGCCGGGAGAGCAGCUCUAAGGGAGAUGGUCAAUUUAAUCUUCUCCAAGUCUGAGGCUUUACCAUGAAAAAUAUGUGGUUGUUAUAAUGAUGAUGUUUUCAUGGUGUUGGGAGUAAGACUUGGAUGUCUGAUAUUGUUAACAUGUUGGUUAGCAUCAGGUUUCCAUUGGGUUACUUGCUGGGAUAAAGCUGUUAUAAGUCAAAAGAGUUGCAGUUGCUGCCUUCUUUGUAUGGUAAAAUCCUCAGACUACAAUCCUGCAAACCAUUGGAUGAACUGUUGCUAUCUUUUGUAAAAAAAUCAGCAGAUAUUUGUCUUAUAAGCAGAAUGAAUUAUAAAUGCAAUUAAUUUUUAAUGCUUUAUUAUUCAAAUUAUAAAUAUUUAUUUCAUUAUUUUUUCUUGCAUUCAAAUAUUGUUUUGUGAUUGAAGAAAUAUAAAAAAAAAACUGUGAAAUUAUUGUUAUUUGAGAGGUCCCAAAGGUAUGAUGUAUGGUUUCACAAGAUACCCAUAAGACUUGCUUCAGUUAACAUAUAUUUUUUAAGUUAUGUACACUGGUUAAGAAUUAUAAAUCCUUUGUGAAAUGAUUUUUUUCUGGUUAGAAACCUAUUAAGUAGGACUUCGAUGGCCAAACACUAAAAGGGAAUAAAACAAAUCCCCUAUUAAACAAUUUAAGUACUGAGUUUUUGGUGCAAUAUGAACUAGAAAUAAAAAUGUUUAGUUAGAUGGUUUGUUUUGACUCUGCAUUCUUUACAUUCAUACAAAUUAAUGGCUGUCAGUUUUAUUUAUUGGUUUUGUUUAUAUAUUAUAAAUGCAUUAUUCAGCAUUUGAGGCCACUGAAGUGAAAAUAAUUACAUAGUUUUUGCAGUUUGUCAUAUUUUCUCAUUUUUGUUUGAUAGAUAUCUAUAUUUUUUCUCAUUUAUGAUUAUUUAUAUUUUAAUGUUUGAUUUUUGAGGCUUGUACUCAGCUUCUAAACAAUUACCUCCCCCCUCCACAUGUAUAACCAGGAUCCUGUAAAAGAAGUUUUGAUUUUGAAGGAUGGAUGGAUAAUUAAAAAUGCAAGAUUUUUUAAUGUGCUGGUUCAUAAUGUAAAAGUCUGCACAAGACAUCUAACCCUACCUGAACACAUUAUUCUGACUUCCAGCUGACCAGUCUUUGCUCCUACUCCUAAAUGCUGAAUGCUUAGCAGGGGAGCAUCAAAUACCAAUUUUCAAUUCUUUGAUAUGACCCAGGGCAGGACCAAAUCCCAUGCUCAUCUGCACUCAUGUUUAGCAUAAAAAGGUUAUUAAAGAAGAUUUGUCUGUCUGUUUGUCCAUCAUCAUCUCUCAUCCACAGCUUAUAAACUAUUGGAAGGUUUUCAUUUAAACUUUCAGAUUAUCUUCUGUAUCUAAUGGCUGUGUGUAUUUUAUUUUAUUAUAAUGAAAUUUUGGGGUUCUCAAUUGUAAUGAAUGGACCUCCUAAGUAUUUGAAAAAAAAAGGGAAAAAAGCUUCUCAUACCACCAUUUUAUCAUGUGAAGGAUAGGUUGGUUCAAAAAUAUUUGUUUUUAAUCAUUUUUUUAGUAGUUGGAUCUCAUUAUGACAAAAUUUUAAUGACUUCAAUUCAAAAUAAAUUUGGGGUUCACACUGAUAUAUAUUACCACUGUAGCUUUAAUGUAAAUUUUAUAAGGCUUUGCUAUAACAUGAUUUGUGUUUUAUCUGGUUUUAUCUGAUUUUAGAGGUUUUUAUGUGAUUUUAUUUGUUUUUAACUGUCAAAUCUUGUUAUACCAAGCCUUAGUAUGAUUGAGUUUAUAUAUUUUGAUUAUACAUGCAAUUCAAAAUAUAAAUUUACAUAAUGAGAUCAGACAUUUAUUAUGCUUUUAGCUCGUCUUAGUGGAUAAAAUAGAAAAAUGAAUGAACAUAAAUAUUGAAGUGGUCAUUGAAGAUUGACCAAAUUACAAGAUUUAUAAAUGCAGAAUCUUGCUCUAACUAAAUCUAUGUUCUUAUCAGCUGAACCAACCUAUCCUUCAAUAUGAGUAAUAAAAUUUUAUAAAUGGAAAAGUCCAUUCUUCGAUUGGGGAACCUUUGGAUGUUAAAAAAAUAUACACAAUGCCAACAGAUACUGAAGAUUAUUUGAAAGUUUAUGCAAAAACAAUUCAAUCCUUUUGAUUGUGAUUGGAAGUUGUAGACGGAUGAGCAAACAGAUGAUACUAUACUUGCUGACUAUGGCACAUUUCCUAAAGGAUAUAGACUAUGGGCAUGGGUUUUGCUCAUGGUUGAAGGCUGUAGGUGACUGAUAGUUGUUAAAUUCUAUGUCAUUUGGUCUCUGGUGGAGAGUUGUCUCGUUGGCAAUCAUAUCUCCUCUUUUUAUUUUAUAUGAAAUAAUUACUUAUUACUUCCUGGGCAAAAAGUUAUGGUUCCAAGAAAAUAAUAAAAAAAAAUA